rnacentral:rRNA from 1 species
GAUGAACGCUGGCGGCGUGCCUAAUACAUGCAAGUCGAGCGAACAGACGAGGAGCUUGCUCCUCUGACGUUUGCGGCGGACGGGUGAGUAACACGUGGAUAACCUACCUAUAAGACUGGGAUAACUUCGGGAAACCGGAGCUAAUACCGGAUAAUAUAUUGAACCGCAUGGUUCAAUAGUGAAAGACGGUUUUGCUGUCACUUAUAGAUGGAUCCGCGCCGCAUUAGCUAGUUGGUAAGGUAACGGCUUACCAAGGCAACGAUGCGUAGCCGACCUGAGAGGGUGAUCGGCCACACUGGAACUGAGACACGGUCCAGACUCCUACGGGAGGCAGCAGUAGGGAAUCUUCCGCAAUGGGCGAAAGCCUGACGGAGCAACGCCGCGUGAGUGAUGAAGGUCUUCGGAGCGUAAAACUCUGUUAUUAGGGAAGAACAAAUGUGUAAGUAACUAUGCACGUCUUGACGGUACCUAAUCAGAAAGCCACGGCUAACUACGUG